rnacentral:rRNA from 1 species
AUGAACGCUGGCGGCGUGCCUAAUCCCUGCAAGUCGAGCGAACGGACGAGAAGCUUGCUUCUCUGAUGUUAGCGGCGGACGGGUGAGUAACACGUGGAUAACCUACCUAUAAGACUGGGAUAACUUCGGGAAACCGUAGCUAAUACCGGAUAAUAUUUUGAACCGCAUGGUUCAAAAGUGAAAGACGGUCUUGCUGUCACUUAUAGAUGGAUCCGCGCUGCAUUAGCUAGUUGGUAAGGUAACGGCUUACCAAGGCAACGAUGCAUAGCCGACCUAAGAGGGUGAUCGGCCACACUGGAACUGAGACACGGUCCAGACUCCUACGGGAGGCAGCAGUAGGGAAUCUUCCGCAAUGGGCGAAAGCCUGACGGAGCAACGCCGCGUGAGUGAUGAAGGUCUUCGGAUCGUAAAACUCUGUUAUUAGGGAAGAACAUAUGUGUAAGUAACUGUGCACAUCUUGACGGUACCUAAUCAGAAAGCCACGGCUAACUACGUG